UCCGGUUUGUCACCGGCAGUCCCAUUAGAGUGCCCACCUUAAAUGUUGGCAACUAAUGAUAAGGGUUGCGCUCGUUGCGGGACUUAACCCAACACCUCACGGCACGAGCUGACGACAGCCAUGCAGCACCUGUACAAAGACCCCUGCGGGAGAUCCAAUUUCUUGGACUGUCCUCUGUAUUUCAAAUCUGGGUAAGGUUCUUCGCGUUGCAUCGAAUUAAACCACAUGCUCCACUGCUUGUGCGGGCCCCCGUCAAUUCUUUUGAGUUUCACCCUUGCGAGCGUACUCCUCAGGCGGUAUACUUAUCGCGUUAGCUCCGACACAGCCGGGGUUGAGCCCAGCUACAUCAAGUAUACAUCGUUUACGGCAUGGACUAC
rnacentral:misc_RNA from 1 species